rnacentral:rRNA from 1 species
UACGUAGGGGGCAAGCGUUGUCCGGAUUUAUUGGGCGUAAAGAGCGUGUAGGCGGCUUGGUAGGUCCGCUGUGAAAACUCGAGGCUCAACCUCGAGAUGUCGGCGGAAACCACUUGGCUAGAGUCCGGAAGAGGAGAGUGGAAUUCCUGGUGUAGCGGUGAAAUGCGCAGAUAUCAGGAAGAACACCUAUGGCGAAGGCAGCUCUCUGGGACGGUACUGACGCUGAGACGCGAAAAGCGUGGGGAGCGAACAGG